AGUGAACGCUGGCGGUAGGCCUAACACAUGCAAGUCGAACGGCAGCACAGUAAGAGCUUGCUCUUACGGGUGGCGAGUGGCGGACGGGUGAGGAAUACAUCGGAAUCUACUUUUUCGUGGGGGAUAACGUAGGGAAACUUACGCUAAUACCGCAUACGACCUACGUGUGAAAGCAGGGGAUCUUCGGACCUUGCGCGAUUGAAUGAGCCGAUGUCGGAUUAGCUAGUUGGCGGGGUAAAGGCCCACCAAGGCGACGAUCCGUAGCUGGUCUGAGAGGAUGAUCAGGCACACUGGAACUGAGACACGGUCCAGACUCCGACGGGAGGCAGCAGUGGGGAAUAUUGGACAAGGGGCGAAAGCCUGAUCCAGCCAUACCGCGUGGGUGAAGAAGGCCUUCGGGUUGUAAAGCCCUUUUGUUGGGAAAGAAAAGCAGCAGGUUAAUACCCCGCUGUUCUGACGGUACCCAAAGAAUAAGCACCGGCUAACUUCGU
rnacentral:rRNA from 1 species